rnacentral:rRNA from 1 species
UACGAAGGGGGCUAGCGUUGCUCGGAAUCACUGGGCGUAAAGCGCACGUAGGCGGCUUUCUAAGUCAGUGGUGAAAUCCUGGAGCUCAACUCCAGAACUGCCUUUGAUACUGGGAAGCUCGAGUCCGGAAGAGGUGAGUGGAACUCCGAGUGUAGAGGUGAAAUUCGUAGAUAUUCGGAAGAACACCAGUGGCGAAGGCGGCUCACUGGUCCGGUACUGACGCUGAGGCGCGAAAGCGUGGGGAGCAAACAGG